rnacentral:rRNA from 1 species
GUCGAACGGUAGCAGGUCUUUUUGGAUGCUGACGAGUGGCGAACGGGUGAGUAAGACAUCGGAACGUACCCGACUGUGGGGGAUAACGAGGCGAAAGCUUUGCUAAUACCGCAUAAGUUCUGCGGAAGAAAGCUGGGGACCCAUUUGGGCCUGGCGCAGACGGAGCGGCCGAUGGCAGAUUAGGUAGUUGGUGGGAUAAAAGCUUACCAAGCCAACGAUCUGUAGCUGGUCUGAGAGGAUGAUCAGCCACACUGGGACUGAGACACGGCCCAGACUCCUACGGGAGGCAGCAGUGGGGAAUUUUGGACAAUGGGGGCAACCCUGAUCCAGCCAUGCCGCGUGCAGGACGAAGGCCUUCGGGUUGUAAACUGCUUUGUACGGGACGAAAGGGACUGCUUUAAUAGGGUAGUUUUAUGACGGUACCGUAAGAAUAAGCACCGGCUAACUACGUGCCAGCAGCCGCGGUAAUACGUAGGGUGCGAGCGUUAAUCGGAAUUACUGGGCGUAAAGCGUGCGCAGGCGGUAUUGUAAGACAGAGGUGAAAUCCCUGGGCUCAACCUGGGAACUGCCUUUGUGACUGCAAUGCUGGAGUGCGGCAGAGGGGGAUGGAAUUCCGCGUGUAGCAGUGAAAUGCGUAGAUAUGCGGAGGAACACCGAUGGCGAAGGCAAUCCUCUGGGCCUGCACUGACGCUCAUGCACGAAAGCGUGGGGAGCAAACAGGAUUAGGUACCCUGGUAGUCCACGCCCUAAACGAUGUCAACUGGUUGUUGGGGAUUGAUUUUCUCAGUAACGAAGCUAACGCGUGAAGUUGACCGCCU